rnacentral:rRNA from 1 species
GACAGAGGCCUCAAGCGUUGUUCGGAUUCAUUGGGCGUAAAGGGUGCGUAGGCGGCGCGGUAAGUCGGGUGUGAAAUCUUGGAGCUUAACUCCGAAACUGCAUUCGAUACUGCCGUGCUUGGAGGACUGGAGAGGAGACUGGAAUUUACGGUGUAGCGGUGAAAUGCGUAGAUAUCGUAAGGAAGACCAGUGGCGAAGGCGGGUCUCUGGACAGUUCCUGACGCUGAGGCACGGAAGGUCAGGGGAGCAAACGGG